rnacentral:rRNA from 1 species
UACGGAGGGAGCUAGCGUUGUUCGGAUAUACUGGGCGUAAAGCGCACGUAGGCGGCGCCGUAAGUCAGGGGUGAAAUCCCGGAGCUCAACUCCGGAACUGCCCUUGAAACUGCAGUGCUAGAAUCUUGGAGAGGCGAGUGGAAUUCCGAGUGUAGAGGUGAAAUUCGUAGAUAUUCGGAAGAACACCAGAAGCGAAGGCGGCCAACUGGCCCGAUACUGACGCUGAGGCGCGAAAGCGUGGGGAGCAAACAGG